rnacentral:rRNA from 1 species
GUCAGGCAUGUGGGGGUGGUAUUGGACGGAUGGGCGGAAGCCUGAUCCAGCGACGCCGCGUGAGGGAUGACGGCUUUCGGGUUGUAAACCUCUUUCACCGAUGACGAAGCGCGAGUGACGGUAGUCGGAGAAGAAGCACCGGGCCAACUACGUGCCAGCAGUCGCGGUGAUACGUAGGGUGCGAGCGUUGUCCGGGAAUUAUUGGGCGUAAAGGGCUCGUAGGCGGUUUGUCGCGUCGGGAGUGAAAACCCAGGGCUUAACCCUGGGCUGGCUUUCGAUACGGGCAGACUAGAGGUAUGCAGGGGAGAACGGAAUUCCUGGUGUAGCGGUGAAAUGCGCAGAUAUCAGGAGGAACACCGGUGGCGAAGGCGGUUCUCUGGGCAUUACCUGACGCUGAGGAGCGAAAGUGUGGGGAGCGGCCACAGGAUUAGAUACCCUGGUAGUCCACACCGUAAACGUUGGGCGCUAGGUGUGGGGUCCAUUCCACGGAUUCCGUGCCGCAGCUAACGCAUUAAGUGCCCCGCCUGAGGAGUACGGCCGUCAAGGUUAAAACUCAAAGGAAUUG